GAUGAAGAACGUAGCGAAAUGCGAUAAGUAAUGCGAAUUGCAGAAUUUCCGUGAGUCAUCGAAUCUUUGAACGCACAUUGCGCCCCUUGGUAUUCCAUGGGGCAUGCCUGUUCGAGCGUCAUCUACACCCUCAAGCUCUGCUUGGUGUUGGGCGUCUGUCCCGCCCCCGCGCGUGGACUCGCCCCAAAUCCAUUGGCAGCGUUCCUUGCCCCCUCUCGCGCAGCACAUUGCGCUUCUCGAGGGCGGCUCCCGGGACGCGAUCCAGCAAGAUGACCACCGUCUUUGACCUCGGAUCAGGUAGGGAUACCCGCUGAACUUAAGCAUAUCAAUAAGCGGAGGA
rnacentral:misc_RNA from 1 species